rnacentral:lncRNA from 1 species
GAGUAAGCUAUAGUGGUAGGAGGUUACUGGAUUGGCUACCACCAAGGUGACUGUGCCAUCCAAUUUCACUUUGGGGUAUACACCUGUAACGAUCGAAAGCAUUAUAUAUCUGUAUACUCAAGUUCAGAGCAGCCUUAUAUGCAACCACUGGAAGAUAUAACUAGCCCAAAGUCUCAAUAGAUAUUUGGAUAGAGAACUGUGUCAUAUUCAUACAGCGGCAUACUGUUCAGACCUUAAGAAAGGAGCAUGUGCUAGCAUAUGAUACAGUGUGGAUAAACCUUGAAGAUAUUGUGCUAACUGCAGGAAAACUGCUGUAAGUGCCUACCUCCUAGUGUAAGAAAAGUCACUGAAAUUAGAGACAGGUUGGUGAUUGCCAGAGACUGGAGGAGGAUACACCAGAGAGUUACUGUUUGAUAGGUUUUGAUAGAUGAAAAUCGAUAAGUGAUGGUCUCUAGAUUCUGUAAAUGUUCUUAGAGCCACAAAACUUUGUACCUGACAAUGAUUGUGAAUUCUGUGCCAUUAUGUUUUAACACAAUUAAAAAUGCCCACACCACCAAUUUAUGCUAGGUAGACAAGAAAUGAAAGGACCACAGGGGAAGUCAAAGGAGGUUGUUGCUCCAGCAUCUAGACCAAUGUCAAGGCAGUGGUCAGGAUGUGGCUCAGAGAUAGAGCCCUUGCCUUAGAAGUUUGAGAUCUUCUGUCCACUCCCAAACAAUAAACAAAAUAAAAGGCCAGAGAGAGUGGUGGUCUGGCAGCAGUAGGAAACAGAAUCCGUGGAUCUGAAGCCUGUCUGAACGGAAAAGCCACGGCUCUUAUUUAUGGAUAACACUGCCAUUCUUUGCAGUUUGAACUCCCAUGCACUUGAAGCCAAUAGACCGCUCGUGUAGAAGUUGAAGACUGGCAAAGUCCCUUUUCGCUGGCAGAUGUGCUUAAGCUUGCUGUCUUGGUGCAUGACAAGGAGAGUUUUAUUUUUAAACUCUGCAGUUGUCUUGGAUGGGUCCAGGAGCCGCUGCUGUUGACAUGUGAAUAUUUGGCUGCACCGUCACGCGGCACUCAUAUGCUCAGUGUGAACACGGCCUGACUUGUGAUGUGCAGUGAUAAGUAGCAUGUGGCUAGCGCUGUUCAUUCUCCUCCUCAUUAGUAAUGCACGUCUCCCAUUAGCAUAUUCAACUAACUACUCCCUUUCCCCUGUGCAGUGUUGACAUUCAUUGUAAUGAUUUAUUAUCCAAGCUAAAUAACCCUCAAUAUGAAACAACAAACAUGCUUGUGUUUGUGGUUUUCAUUUGUUUUGUUUUGUUUUUCUUGCUUGCCUCCACAUAAGUAGAUAGGUUUUUUUUUUUACUAUGAUAAUUAAGUGGUACAGGAGACCACUUGAAAGGUUAAGAAAGUCAGUAGUGUUUAUUUGCAAAAAUUCACCAAAUUUUGGUGACAUCCCACACUAUGUCCUUGGAAUUUUAAAAGGGGGGGGGAGAACAAUAAGGGCAGAUUAUUAAAAUGUUUGUUAUGAGCAAACACUCCAUCUAAGACUUAAUGAUCUAUGAAAGGGCCACAUUUGGGCUUCCCGUGGAGCCUCCACAGCCCCCAGAAGUCUUGUUUUAUUUAUUCAUGAUAUCUCCACAAUGGGCUGAACCGUCAGGAGCACUUACCAGACAGUCAGUGACAGAGAACAGUGGCUGGGAUCCAGAGCUGUUAAGUUAAACAGCCUGAGUUUAUAUCCAAGCAGAGCAACCGACUGCGUGACCUUGGAUGAUCUAUACGGUAGCUCUCUGAACCCCAGCGGUCCUCAUCUGUAAAACAGAGAGAGCAGACAUGCUAAUCUCAUGAGGUCUCUGUGACACGUGAGAGAAUGCCUGCAAAGCUCUUGCUGACAUUAUCUGAGAAUAACUGCUCAAUAAAUAUUAGCUGUUACUAUCAUUGUCUGUGAGCUACAAGUAUGCCCAUAAUAAAGACAUUAUAUAUAAAAAUAAAUAUGUUAGGGCACCAUAUCAAAAUUAAGAGAAAAUAAACACAUCAAACAAAUAUGGACCCUCAACAGUGAAUAUCUGAAGACUGCUUGGCAGUGUUAUGGACCACUGUGGGGUCAGAAGGGAUUGGCAGCCUCUUGACCUGUACACAGAGAUGCACUCCCUUGUUGUCUGUCGCUCCAGGCUUACUUCACAGGCGUAGCGGUGUUCCCUCCAUUCACCCACUUGGUACUGAGCUGGUGCUGCCCAUCUGUAUCGGGGAGACUAUAUCAGAUAUUCUUUUGGAUCCUGGAGACUUCCCAUUAGUGGGUUAGUUACUUUGGGGUCACCCUGACCCAAAGACCCGACAACAAUGACUUAAGCCAGGAAGCUUUCUUUUAGCUUAUGGUUUCAGAAGUCUGAAACAUGAUAGAGGAGGGAAACAUGUGGGAGAAAGCAGCUCCAUCUUUGGCACCAGUAUUAUGGGGCAGCUUUAUAGCCUAGCAGAGCAGAAAACAGAAAAAGCAGACUAGAACCAAUGCUGGUAUACCCUUUAAGGACCUGCCCCUAGUGGUCCACUUUUGUGAGCAAGACCCUGCCUCCUAAAGGCUCCAUAGCCUUCAAAAUAGCAGCACAAGACAGCACAAGCAUUCAUUUCAGAUUCAUAUCCUAAUUGGUGCCUGAUAAUUGCCACGCCUUGAAAACCAUCUGCAUUAUACUGUGCUCAGUUAAAGCUAUCUUACCCAGAUUACAAUGGUAGCUCCGUUCCCUGAAGAAUAAGAAACACUCAUUUCUGACUGUUUCCACUUAAAAACCUGAGCAGGUUAUUCUCGCCUCGGGCUUUUCCCCAAUAGAAAAUUGUUAUUGAUGUUUUAUAAGCGUCAUAUUCCACUCAAAGGUAAAAGGCCCCUACCACUUGCCACUUUUCUAGUGAUUUUUUUUCUACACAGUGUCUACAAGUCAACACUCCUGGGCUCAAUUAAAAUAUGAAUUUAGCCACUGGAUUCAUAGGAAGGUGAUCAAACUUGAAUACUAAUACCUUAAUUUCCUAUGAAUGUCAGGAGGGGGCCCAUUGAGACAUGGUUUUGAAGACAAUGGCUGGGGAGCCCAGAUGCCUAGGGAUGGUUAUAGCUCAGUACACAUCUACAUUGAAUUUUGCUGUUUUUAUUUUUAAUUUUUAUUAUUUUUUUAGCAAAUAUAGAAUGUUGCUCAUUAGACUAACAAUUUGCUUACAAUUAUAGCUUUGUGAGAAAUUCAAAGCCACGGAAACCAUACUACUUUCUGCUUUCCCAAUGCCUCAUUAUCCCAGAGGACAGGGAUUAAUAUUCCAGACCCCUAUUUUCAAGACUUAACUAACAUUGCAUCAUGAUAAUACAAAAAUCAACCAAACAAACAAAAGACAGUGCCAGUUAAGUUCUUAACAUGUGUGAAAUCCUCUCUCCUUGUCAGGGAUAAGAAUAGACCAAAGGCAGGUCCAGCUCUUCAUAGAAUAUUGUUCCAAGACUAUGAGGAGAUAAUGUGGUUGUAUUAUGAAUCAGUUGGGUUGGACUGUGACGACUUAAGAAUGAAUGGUUCAAACCAGUUAGAUACCUAUAGCAAGAAGGAACAUGGUCUGGGGAGGAAUUGAUAGAAAUAGGCAGAAGCCGAGGAAAACGAGGUUUAAAGUGAACCUAUAGAAUUAACAACUGAUCACUAUAAAUCCAAGUACAUUUCUUUCCUUUUUUUCCACUUAUUUACUUUAUUUUAUUGAAUGUAUAGUGGAAGAGGGAGAAUGGGUCAAGAGGAAAGGAAGGGCCGUCUUCCUAGACUGGGAUGAUGAGCGCCUUGGGAAGGAGGGCACUCAGUCCAUCCAAAUCGGCUGGUAUAUCCCUAGGACAUUUCUAGAUGCUACAGAUGUCAUCUCCUUGAUGUUUUAGGCUUGC